rnacentral:lncRNA from 10 species
UUUUUUUUUUUUUUUUUUGCUCAUCAGCUAUUGUUAGUGUAUUUUAUGUGUGGCCCAAGAAAAUUCUUCUUCCAAUGUGGCCCAGGGAAGCCAAAAGAUUGGACACCCCUGGUCUGUAGGACUUACUGGCAUCAAAGAAGUCUAGAAUGGUCAUUAGAAUGGUCAUGGUGGAAGGGACAUUCCAGACCUUUACACCCCAGCCCACUGUUGUGCCAGGAAACCCUUGUGUACAAUGCAGUGUUUCACAACAGCCUCCCUGGAACAUCAACUUUGCUCUUUAUUUUUUUCUUUGAAAGUAUCUGAAAUAUAUGACAGGAAAGCCAGGAGGGGCCUGAAAACCAUUCAGAAUCUCUGUUUCUCUCUGUGGCUGCAGCAGUAGGCAGAGAACGCACAAGAAAGAAAGGGCCUGUUUUAUCUCUGGCAGGCGCUGGCCCAGCAGCAGGAUCCAGGUUGUGCAGCUCACAGAGCUCUAGCUGGAAGGGCUUGAUUGAAUUCCUCCUCCCUCUUCCUACCCGCCUCCAAAAACAACAAACCCCUUACAAACAAUGCCCAUGAUGUUAGCAACAAUGAAGCUGUCCUUUUCAAAAUGUGUCUUCUAUCAUUUGCCUUCAGUAAUUACCAAGGCCUUCUAAAUGCUACCACAAGCUGAGCUAGGGCUGGAGAGGGUGUGGGGGCAGGGAACAGAGCUGUAGGAAUGAAGUCCAGUUUUCCAAAGGGACCCUGGCAAUCCUGCUGUGGCCCUUUUCUGGGUUUACAGAAAGUAGUGGUUGUCAUAAUUCUGGCAAACACAUGCCCUGUAUUUUAUACAACAGUUCCAGUUUCAAAUAGUUUCCCUUGUCGUUCACGUAAGCACACUUGGCCUGGUCACAUUAUGGAUUUCUUUUCUUUUUUUUUAAGGUGGCUGCUUGGAAAAUAUGCUCACCAUCUCAUUAGAGCCACGGUCUAAUAAGGAGGAAGCCCCUUUCUGCCACCCUUUGACAAACUUCCCCACUUACUGUUAUUACUUCCCACGGGGCCUGAAGGGCCACAGGUUGCUGAUAGGGUGAGGGCUUGCAAAGUCAGCUGGGGGCUUGAAGAGCUGCUUCUUUGAAGGACAACCUACUCCUUUCCCCUGGCCUCCCCUUUCCUGUGGCCACCAUGCCCCAGACAGCAGGGCCUCCCCUAAAGAGAGCUUGCUCUGGUGAGUAGAGUGGCUUCAGCAGGACCCAGUCUUUUGAGUCACGGUGUGAUCUUGGGGUCUGGGCCCCCAACUCUGGCAGUAGCAAGACUUGAAGCUCCACAACCCAGGGCUUUGGCAGCCCCUCCGCAAUUUCACAGUAUAGGCUCUGUGGCCUACAUGGAAUGCAGGUCCUGCUAAGAGCCCCCACCAUUAACUGCCUGCUCUGGACUAAGUGACAUCAGACUAAAAAGUAGCAUUCUGGGCCGGGCGUGGUGGCU